UACGUAGGGUGCAAGCGUUGUCCGGAAUUACUGGGCGUAAAGAGUUCGUAGGCGGUUUGUCGCGUCGUUUGUGAAAACCAGCAGCUCAACUGCUGGCUUGCAGGCGAUACGGGCAGACUUGAGUACUGCAGGGGAGACUGGAAUUCCUGGUGUAGCGGUGAAAUGCGCAGAUAUCAGGAGGAACACCGGUGGCGAAGGCGGGUCUCUGGGCCAAAACUGACGCUGAGGAGCGAAAGCGUGGGGAGCGAACAGG
rnacentral:rRNA from 1 species